CACUCCUGCGGGAGGCAGCAGUGGGGAAUUUUGGACAAUGGGCGAAAGCCUGAUCCAGCAAUGCCGCGUGAGUGAAGAAGGCCUUCGGGUUGUAAAGCUCUUUUGUCAGGGAAGAAACGGUGAGAGCUAAUAUCUUUUGCUAAUGACGGUACCUGAAGAAUAAGCACCGGCUAACUACGUGCCAGCAGCCGCGGUAAUACGUAGGGUGCAAGCGUUAAUCGGAAUUACUGGGCGUAAAGCGUGCGCAGGCGGUUUUGUAAGUCUGAUGUGAAAUCCCCGGGCUCAACCUGGGAAUUGCAUUGGAGACUGCAAGGCUAGAAUCUGGCAGAGGGGGGUAGAAUUCCACGUGUAGCAGUGAAAUGCGUAGAUAUGUGGAGGAACACCGAUGGCGAAGGCAGCCCCCUGGGUCAAGAUUGACGCUCAUGCACGAAAGCGUGGGGAGCAAACAGGAUUAGAAACCCCAGUAGUCCCAUG
rnacentral:rRNA from 1 species